GAAGCGCGCCAGACCGCCGCUGGUGCAAUCUGGGAAACCAGGCACUGGAGGAACGUCCGGACUGCACAGGACAGCGUAGCAGCUAACGGCUGCCCACCGUGAGGUGAGGAUCAGAGCAACAGAGACGAGUCCCAGGGGAGUGCCGCAAGGUAGACCACUGGGGGUGAAACGGGCAAUCUCUACGCGCAGCAAUACCAAGUAGGCCAACGUUGAUGUGGUUCCGCAGAGUUGGCGGGUAGGUAGCACCGAGCCGUGGUGGCGACACCCGGCCCAGAUUAAUGGCGGUCACACUGCGGGCAACCGUGGUGCACAGAAUCCGGCUUAUCGGCGCGCUUCACAC
rnacentral:RNase_P_RNA from 1 species